rnacentral:rRNA from 1 species
UUCUGGAAAAGACAGCUGAGAGGGUGAAACUCCCGUCCGCCUGGUAGAAUGAGUCUUUGUCAACGAGUCGAGUUGUUUGGGAUUGCAGCUCUAAUUUGGUGGUAAAUUCCAUCUAAAGCUAAAUAUUGGUGGGAGACCGAUAGCGUACAAGUACCGUGAGGGAAAGAUGCAAAGAACUUUGAAAAGAGAGUUAAAGAGUACCUGAAAUUGCUGAAACGGAAGCGAAGGAAACCAGUGUUUGUUGGUUCAUAUUUCUCUGGCCACUUGUGGUUUGGGCG